AUCAGAUCGAUGAUGUCAGUUGAAAUACUGCGUUAUCGAUCUAAAAGUCUCCGAAAUAGGAGUUGCAGACCCUAAACAGAAAAAAUUGAGAUCUGAU
rnacentral:snoRNA from 2 species